AUGAACGCUGGCGGCGUGCUUAACACAUGCAAGUUGAACGAAGCUCAUAGAACCUAUUCCUUCGGGGAGAAGUUUUAUGAGACUUAGUGGCGAACGGGUGAGUAACACGUGAGCAACCAACCCCUGACAGUGGAAUAACAACGGGAAACCGUUGCUAAUACCGCAUAAUAUCCUGUUACGGCAUCGUAGUAGGAUCAAAGAUUUAUCGGUCAGGGACGGGCUCGCGUCCGAUUAGGUAGUAGGUAAGGUAACGGCUUACCUAGCCUGCGAUCGGUAGCCGGACUGAGAGGUCGAUCGGCCACAUUGGGACUGAGACACGGCCCAGACUCCUACGGGAGGCAGCAGUGGGGAAUAUUGGGCAAUGGGGGCAACCCUGACCCAGCGACGCCGCGUGAAGGACGAAGGCAUUCGUGUUGUAAACUUCUUUGGAGAGGGACGAAGAUGACGGUACCUCUCGAACAAGCCACGGCUAACUACGUGCCAGCAGCCGCGGUAAUACGUAGGUGGCAAGCGUUAUCCGGAAUUACUGGGUGUAAAGGGCGCGCAGGCGGCCCUGCAAGUCGGAUGUGAAAGAUCAAGGCUCAACCUUGACAGGCCAUUCGAAACUGUGGGACUUGAGUGUCAGAGGGGAAAGUGGAAUUCCUAGUGGAGCGGUAAAAUGCGCAGAUAUUAGGAGGAACACCGGUGGCGAAGGCGACUUUCUGGCUGACAACUGACGCUGAGGCGCGAAAGCGUGGGGAGCAAACAGG
rnacentral:rRNA from 1 species